AAAAAUUUAAAAAACGGAAAAAAAGGGAAAAAAAAUAAUAAAUCUGUUCUUUUCAGUUUAAUGUCUGAUACGUCCCCUAUCUGGGGACCAUAUAUUAAAUGGAUUUUUCGAACAGGGAGAUGGAAAAAGAGCUUGCUCUGUCCACUCCACGCAUUGACCUGGUAUUGCAGUACCUCCAGGACCGGUGCACCCCUU